UACAGAGGUCUCAAGCGUUGUUCGGAUUCAUUGGGCGUAAAGGGUGCGUAGGUGGCGCGCUAAGUCAGGGGGGAAAUCUCGGGGCUUAACUCCGAAACUGCAUUUGAUACUGGCGUGCUUGAGGACUGGAGAGGAGACUGGAAUUCAUGGUGUAGCAGUGAAAUGCGUAGAGAUCAUGAGGAAGACCAGUGGCGAAGGCGGGUCUCUGGACAGUUCCUGACACUGAGGCACGAAGGCCAGGGGAGCAAACGGG
rnacentral:rRNA from 1 species